rnacentral:tRNA from 1 species
AAAGUGUUUAAAAUUAGAUUUCUAAUCUAAACCUAGCUAAAUUAGCUACACUUUA